rnacentral:rRNA from 1 species
CCUACGGGAGGCAGCAGUGAGGAAUUUUGGUCAAUGGACGAGAGUCUGAACCAGCCAAGUAGCGUGAAGGAUGACUGCCCUAUGGGUUGUAAACUUCUUUUAUAUGGGAAUAAAAUGUUCCACGUGUGGGAUUUUGUAUGUACCAUAUGAAUAAGGAUAGGCUAACUCCGUGCCAGCAGCCGCGGUAAUACGGAGGGUCCGAGCGUUAUCCGGAUUUGUUUGGUUUAAAGGGAGCGUAGGUGGAUUGUUAAGUCAGUGGGGAAAGUUUGCGGCUCAACCGUAAAAUUGCAGUUGAAACUGGCAGUCUUGAGUACAGUAGAGGUGGGCGGAAUUCGUGGUGUAGCGGUGAAAUGCUUAGAUAUCACGAAGAACUCCGAUUGCGAAGGCAGCUCACUGGACUGCAACUGACACUGAGGCUCGAAAGUGUGGGUAUCAAACAGGAUUAGAUACCCUGGUAGUC